rnacentral:rRNA from 1 species
GACGAACGCUGGCGGCGUGCUUAACACAUGCAAGUCGAACGGACAGGCGCUGCUCUUGCUGGUUGCUCGAGUGGCGCAAGGGUGAGUAUAACGCGAGUAAACUGCCCCUGUCUUUGGGAUAACUUUGGGAAACUGGGGCUCAUAUCGGUUAUGAGCUCUUGAUCCACGGUGGGGGUUGGUAAGAUUCGGCGGUUGGGGAUGGACUCGCGGCUUACCAGCUUGUUGGUGGGGUAGUGGCUUACCAAGGCUUUGACGGGUAGGCCGCCUGGGAGGGUGACCGGCCACAUUGGGACUGAGGUACGGCCCAGUAGCCUACGGGAGGCAGCAGUGGGGAGCAUUGCGCAAUGGGCGGAAGCCUGAUGCAGCAACGCCCCGUGCGGGAUGACGUCCUUCGAGUUAUAAACCGCUUUCGCCUGUGACGAAGCGUGAGUGACGGUAAUGGGUAAAGAAGCACCGGCUAACUACGUG